UUGCUUUGGCAGCACAUAGACUAAAAUUGGAAUGACACUGAGCAGCACAGCCGGUGCGCAAGGAUGACAUGCAAGUUUGUGGAGUGUUCUGAGUUUUU
rnacentral:snRNA from 1 species